CUCUAAGCUGUUCAUGGAGCAGAGCUCCAGCACUUUGGGGGUGACUGCUGAUAAUUGAAACCAUGGGAAAUAAAACCAUAGAUAAGGAGUUUCUUUUAAAACCCCAGGGAGUCCCUGAGUGCUUCGGGAAAGAAGCCUUGUGAUUUGGUAGCAAGCCUUCUGGCCCUGGAGUCAACCAAGACAUCCUUCACAUCUUACCUCCACCAGGGUCAACAUUUUGGAGGUCCUACCGAGAUCCGAAGUCCCAGCUUCCUGAGCUGCUCUGCUAAUGAGGACCCCAAGACUUGAGAUAUUACAAGUUGCCACGUACUCUGCAUUUGAGCCAUUCAUCUGAAAUAACAGCAAAACACCCUGUGUGCUGCCAUCGUCCUUAGUGAGAACUGGGUUCACAUCCAGGGACUUCCUGCCUCUUUGGGAAGACAUUGACAAACUGGAGAGAUGCCCAGGGAAAAGAACAACAAAGAGAGGUUUGCUGGGUCUGGAAUGCACUCCCUCCUCCCCACUCCCUCUUCGAAUCCCAAGAUUUCUCCAAAAAUGCAGCUUGGGUGUUACCUCUGAUGGGCCUUUCCUGAUUUUCCGUCCCCUCCCAUACACUAACACAGGCUCUCCUUUGAAAUCACUUUGGGUAGACUUUAUAUUAUCUCUGUAUACAGUGUCUCCUCAAGUAGAAUGUAAGCUCCUUGAAGGCUCAGACUUUUUAUUUUUGUUUUUAAUAGAUGUUUGGUAA
rnacentral:lncRNA from 1 species